rnacentral:rRNA from 1 species
CGGUAAUUCCAGCUCCAAUAGCGUAUACUAAAGUUGUUGCAGUUAAAAAGCUCGUAGUUGGAUUUCUGUGGGGACGGAGCGGCCGGACGCAACUUGCGUCUCGAGCUAGCGCUUUCCCCGCAUCCUGCCGCGAACCGUGCUACCAUUAGUUUGGUGGCGCUGGGGAUCGGCUCGAUUACUUUGAGAAAAAUAGAGUGUUCAAAGCAGGCCACACGCCUUGAAUAAGUUAGCAUGGAAUAAUGACUAAGGACUUUGGUUCUUUUCGUUGGUGUUCGGGACUGAAGUAAUGAUUGAUAGGGACAGUUGGGGCGGUCCGUAUUCCAAAGCGAGAGGUGAAAUUCUUAGACCUUCGGAAGACGAACAGCUGCGAAAGCGUUCCGCAAGGAUGUUCCCUUUGAUCAAGAACGAAAGUUGGGGGAUCGAAGACGAUCAGAUACCGUCGUAGUCUCAACUAUAAACUAUACCAGCUAGGGAUCGGCCAACGUUUAAUUAUUCGACUUGGUCGGCACCUUAUAAGAAAUCAAAGCAUCUGGGUUCCGGGGGGAGUAUGGUCGCAAGGCUGAAACUUAAAGGAAUUGACGGAAGGGCACCACCAGGCGUGGAGCCUGUGGCUUAAUUUGACUCAACACGGGAAAACUUACCAGGUCCAGACAUAGGAAGGAUUGACAGAUUGAUAGCUCUUUCUUGAUUCUGUGGGUGGUGGUGCAUGGCCGUUUUUAGUCGGUGAAGUGAUUUGUCUGCUUAAUUGCGUUAACGGACGAGACCCCAGCCUGCUAAAUAGCGCGGCCGAGCUUUGCUCGGUACGAGCUUCUUAGAGGGACCAUGAUGCGCGAUAGCACAAGGAAGUUUGGGGCAACAACAGGUCUGUGAUGCCCUUAGAUGUUCUGGGCCGCACACGGGCUACACUGGCGCCUGCAACGAGCAUAUCAGCUGGCCCGAGAGGGUCUUGGCUAAUCUUUGGAACCGGCGCCGUGCUUGGGAUUGACCAUUGCAAUUGUUGGUCAUGCAACGAGGAAUGCCUUGUAAACGCGAGUCAUCAGCUCGCAUUGAAUACGUCCCUGCCCUUUGUACACACCGCCCGUCGCUCCUACCGAUGAAUGUUCCGAUGAAAUUUUCGGAGAGCGCCGGAGAACGGGGCUCUGCCCUGCAGAACUGGAGGCUCAAAGUCACUUAAAUCUGAACAUUUCGAGGAAGGAGAAGUCGUAACAAGGUAGCCG